rnacentral:rRNA from 1 species
AUUGAACGCUGGCGGCAUGCCUUACACAUGCAAGUCGAACGGCAGCACGGGAGCAGUCCUGGUGGCGAGUGGCGAACGGGUGAGUAAAGUAUCGGAACGUGCCCAGUCGUGGGGGAUAACGUAGCGAAAGUUACGCUAAUACCGCAUACGAUCUGUGGAUGAAAGCGGGGGAUCGCAAGACCUCGCGCGAUUGGAGCGGCCGAUAUCAGAUUAGGUAGUUGGUGGGGUAAAGGCUCACCAAGCCGACGAUCUGUAGCUGGUUUGAGAGGACGACCAGACACGCUGGGACUGAGACACGGCCCAGACUCCUACGGGAGGCAGCAGUGGGGAAUUUUGGACAAUGGGCGAAAGCCUGAUCCAGCCAUGCCGCGUGCAGGAUGAAGGCCUUCGGGUUGUAAACUGCCUUUGUACGGAACGAAAAGGUUUGGCCUAAUAAGCUGAGCUCAUGACGGUACCGUAAGAAUAAGCACCGGCUAACUACGUGCCAGCCGCCGCAGUAA